GACGAACGCUGGCGGCGUGCUUAACACAUGCAAGUCGAACGGUGAAGCGCCUUCCUUUUUGGUGGGUGUGGAUGAGUGGCGAACGGGUGAGUAACACGUGAGUAACCUGCCCCCUUCUUCUGGAUAACCGCAUGAAAGUGUGGCUAAUACGGGAUAUUCUGGGUCUGUCGCAUGAUGGGUCUGGGAAAGAUAUUGUUUCGGUGGGGGAUGGGCUCGCGGCCUAUCAGCUUGUUGGUGGGGUGAUGGCCUACCAAGGCGGUGACGGGUAGCCGGCCUGAGAGGGUGGACGGUCACACUGGGACUGAGACACGGCCCAGACUCCUACGGGAGGCAGCAGUGGGGAAUAUUGCACAAUGGGAGCAAGCCUGAUGCAGCGACGCCGCGGGAGGGAUGGAGGCCUUCGGGUUGUGAACCUCUUUCGCCAGUGAAGCAGGCCUGCCUCGUUUGUGGGUGGGUUGACGGUAGCUGGAUAAGAAGCGCCGGCUAACUACGUG
rnacentral:rRNA from 1 species